CCCCCACCACCCCCCCCCCUCCCAACGCUCGCACCUCCAGAACCUUUCCAUGGCCCAUGACCCCAACCCGCAACCCCCCAAUCCUGCAGACACACAGAUACACAUUUACGCACACACACACAAAUAUCCAGAAAAAAAACGGCAAACUGCUCUCAGAGCAAGGAGACCGGAGGGACAGGAAACAGGAAGUGGAAAAACCUGCAGUUAGGUGGAUCUACAUCCACAGUCCACAGCCACUGACGAUGGCGACUGCUUUUCCAACAACCUCUGAGUUCCAUGGAUACAGCAAGACUUUCCCCCUCGUCUGCCUCACCCCUUCUUUUCUCUCACUCCUCAUUACUUCAUUCUCCUCAUACUCUUCACCCCAUCAUUCUUCUCACCCUCUCAUUCGCCUCAUGCCCCAUAUAAGUAGCUUUCUUCAGUUGGUGUUCAUUGUACACAAUGAAAAACUUCUCCAUAUUUUGUUCUGCAUUUGUGUUUUUUUGAUUCUUAAAGUUUACAUUUUAGUAGUUGAUAAAGAUUUGCACAUUUAGGCUAAAUAAUGCUGUUCUUCGAUGGUGAUAUUGGUAUUGUUUUAGAGAGAAUGGCACCAUGCUGCCAGUCUCUACGAUCCUUUAAGGACAAUGGUCUUAAACCCAAAGCACAGUGGAUCUUCACAAUAAAAGACAUUAUUUAACAAAUAAGAGAAUGAAAAAAUAUGACGAUAUUUUUUUAAAAAGAAGAAAAUUAUUUUAAUGUGAAAAGUACAAACAUAAAAACAUGUAAAUUGUUUUUUUUAUUUUUAACCUGACUGGUCUGAAACUAGCGGAUUUAAAAGAUCAAAAACAGAAACACAAGGAGAGCGAGAGAAGAAGAAAAAAAACUGCUUUUGUGAUGUCACAGCUGGACGGGACUUCUGGUUGGACGGUCACGCCAGAUGGUUCUCAUGCAAGUAUCCUUCCUAGAAAGGAUGCAUUCUGGGAAUUUCUCUCUCUCUCUCCAACGAUGAAAUCACAACAUGGAGCUACCUGUCCUGACUGUGACUCAAACAAGAGAAGUGCCUUGUGUAUGAAUGAUUCGUUUGUAAGAACAAGUUGAUGUAAAUGUUCAUUUACCUCAAAUGUUUACAAAAAUGUUACUAAAUAAACUUUUUUUGUACCAUAUGGGUGUUUGUCACAGUUCC
rnacentral:lncRNA from 1 species